rnacentral:rRNA from 1 species
GUGGCGAACGGGUGAGUAACACGUUGGUGACCUACCCCAGAGAUAGGGAUAACCAUUGGAAACGAUGGCUAAUACCUUAGAUGUCAUUAUUGUUAGAGGAUAAUGACUGAAGCUCCGGCGCUCUGGGAGGGGCCUGCGGUCCAUCAGCUAGUUGGUGAGGUAAUGGCUUACCAAGGCGAAGACGGAUAGGGGGCGUGAGAGCGUGACCCCCCACACUGGUACUGACACACGGACCAGAUACCUACGGGUAGCAGCAGCAAGGAAUAUUGCGCAAUGGACGAAAGUCUGACGCAGCAACACCGCGUGGAGGAUGAAGGCCUUCGGGUUGUAAACUCCUUUUCUGAGGGAAGAGAAAGGACGGUACCUCAGGAAUAAGUCUCGGCUAACUACGUGCCAGCAGCCGCGGUAAAACGUAGGAGGCGAACGUUAUCCGGAUUUACUGGGCGUAAAGCGCAUGCAGGCGGUUUCUUAAGUCGGACGUGAAAGCUCCUGGCUCAACUGGGAGAGGUCGUUCGAAACUGAGAAACUUGAGGAUGGUAGAGGAGAGUGGAAUUUCCGGUGUAGUGGUGAAAUGCGUAGAUAUCGGGAGGAACACCAGUAGCGAAGGCGGCUCUCUGGGCCAUUCCUGACGCUAAGAUGCGAAAGCUAGGGGAGAGAACGGGAUUAGAAACCCCGGUACUCCUAGCCGUAAACGAUGUCAACUAGGUGUAGGGGGGUAUCCAACCCCUCUGUGCUGUAGCUAACGCGUUAAGUUGACCGCCUGGGGGACUACGGCCGCAAGGCUAAAA